UGGGCCAUCGCUGUUUAAGGAAGAAGUCACACGAAAGGGAAUGGUAUUUGUGGUGUAGGCGCGACGCUGCUAGCUCUAAGAUGGAUAAAUUCUUAACCAGAAAACAUGGAAGGUCCGUCUCCGAAAAGGAAGCGAGGACCAUCAAUUUUUGUGUAUUCCUGCCACGUCCUGCGGUUCCGAACGUGCUUUUAGCAAGGCGGGUCAAAUAAUUUCCGAUCGCCGUACCCGUUUAAAGAGUAACAUCGUAGACCAACUUAUGUUCAUUAAUAAUAAUUAUAAUCU